GACCACAUAGGAUUGGUAUGCAAAAUUGUAUCAGAAAAUUAGAUGAAACGCAAUUGUUAAAACAUAGUGAAGUCUGUUUCAGACGUGCUGUAUUGGCACAACUAACCAGAUAGGUAAUAGCAGAUGCUGCUGAGGAAAUGAAGGCAACUACACAACUACUGUGGGAAACAGAUGGGGACCAGGGAGUAAGGUGACGAUGUGUGCGCCAAGUGGCCUAAAAACCCGUGAGGAAACUCACACGGUGCAUCAAAUAUGAGAGUGUUCACAGCAGCACUGGGAGCAGCCCAGCUCUCCAUCAAAAGUCAUGCAUUCCUUCAGUGGAAUAAAUAAAUGAAUUACAGCUACAGAAUCUCAGGAACAAAAUGGUAAGCUAAAAACCAAGUAACUGAAGAAAACAUAAUAUUUCACUUAUAUAAAGAUAAAAAAGUUUUAAAACUAAACAGUGUAUUUUUAAGAGAUUCAACUGUGUGUGGGAAAAGCAUAAAGAAAAACUAGAGAAUGAUGAACAAAAAUUCAAGACAGUGGUUGCCUCUAAGGUGGGGAAGGGCCAUUAUCAGUUCAAACUGGAAAAUGGUGCAAAGGGACCUUCAAAAAUGAUGAUACUCUCUUAAACUGUAUGAUCAGUACCUAAGUGUUUUGUGCUAUUGAUAUUCUUUGUGUCAUACCCAUUUUUUUCAUAUUUAUUAGAUAUUUAAUAAAACCAGUUUUAAAAAAUACAAAUCCAA
ensembl:lncRNA novel transcript, intronic to PHF20L1